rnacentral:misc_RNA from 1 species
CCGAGUUUUCAACUCCCAAACCCCUGUGAACAUACCUAUCGUUGCUUCGGCGGGCCGCUCCAGGGCGCCCGUCGGGGACACCAAACUCUUGUUUUUACAAAUGUAUCUUCUGAGUGGCGUAAAGCAAAAAUAUAUCA